GGGUUGUGAGGUUAAGUGACUAAGCGUACACGGUGGAUGCCUAGGCAGUCAGAGGCGAUGAAGGGCGUGCUAAUCUGCGAUAAGCGUCGGUAAGGUGAUAUGAACCGUAAUAACCGGCGAUACCCGAAUGGGGAAACCCAGUGUGUUUCGACACACUAUCAUGUCAUGAAUACAUAGUGGCAUGAGGCGAACCGGGGGAACUGAAACAUCUAAGUACCCCGAGGAAAAGAAAUCAACCGAGAUUCCCCCAGUAGCGGCGAGCGAACGGGGAGGAGCCCAGAACCUGAAUCAGUUCUUGUGUUAGUGGAAGCGUCUGGAAAGUCGCGCAGUAAAGGGUGAUAGCCCCGUACACUAAAAUGCAUUAAUUGUGAGUUCGAUGAGUAGGGCGGGACACGUGACAUCCUGUCUGAAUAUGGGGGACCAUCCUCCAAGGCUAAAUACUCCUGACUGACCGAUAGUGAACCAGUACCGUGAGGGAAAGGCGAAAAGAACCCCGGCGAGGGGAGUGAAAUAGAACCUGAAACCGUGUACGUACAAGCAGUGGGAGCACCUUCGUGGUGUGACUGCGUACCUUUUGUAUAAUGGGUCAGCGACUUAUAUUUUGUAGCAAGGUUAACCGAAUAGGGGAGCCGUAGGGAAACCGAGUCUUAACUGGGCGUCUAGUUGCAAGGUAUAGACCCGAAACCCGGUGAUCUAGCCAUGGGCAGGUUGAAGGUUGGGUAACACUAACUGGAGGACCGAACCGACUAAUGUUGAAAAAUUAGCGGAUGACUUGUGGCUGGGGGUGAAAGGCCAAUCAAACCGGGAGAUAGCUGGUUCUCCCCGAAAGCUAUUUAGGUAGCGCCUCGUGAACUCAUCUUCGGGGGUAGAGCACUGUUUCGGCUAGGGGGCCAUCCCGGCUUACCAAACCGAUGCAAACUCCGAAUACCGAAGAAUGUUAUCACGGGAGACACACGGCGGGUGCUAACGUCCGUCGUGAAGAGGGAAACAACCCAGACCGCCAGCUAAGGUCCCAAAGUCAUGGUUAAGUGGGAAACGAUGUGGGAAGGCACAGACAGCCAGGAUGUUGGCUUAGAAGCAGCCAUCAUUUAAAGAAAGCGUAAUAGCUCACUGGUCGAGUCGGCCUGCGCGGAAGAUGUAACGGGGCUAAACCAUGCACCGAAGCUGCGGCAGCGACGCUUAGGCGUUGUUGGGUAGGGGAGCGUUCUGUAAGCCUGUGAAGGUGUGCUGUGAGGCAUGCUGGAGGUAUCAGAAGUGCGAAUGCUGACAUAAGUAACGAUAAAGCGGGUGAAAAGCCCGCUCGCCGGAAGACCAAGGGUUCCUGUCCAACGUUAAUCGGGGCAGGGUGAGUCGACCCCUAAGGCGAGGCUGAAAAGCGUAGUCGAUGGGAAACAGGUUAAUAUUCCUGUACUUGGUGUUACUGCGAAGGGGGGACGGAGAAGGCUAGGCUAGCCGGGCGACGGUUGUCCCGGUUUAAGCGUGUAGGAGGGUGUUCCUGGUAAAUCCGGAAUGCCGUUAACUCUGAGGCGUGAUGACGAUGCACUACGGUGCAGAAGUAGUUGAUGCCAAGCUUCCAGGAAAAGCCUCUAAGCAUCAGGUAACACGAAAUCGUACCCCAAACCGACACAGGUGGUCAGGUAGAGAAUACCAAGGCGCUUGAGAGAACUCGGGUGAAGGAACUAGGCAAAAUGGUGCCGUAACUUCGGGAGAAGGCACGCUGGCGCGUAGGUGAAGUCCCUUGCGGAUGGAGCUGAAGCCAGUCGCAGAUACCAGCUGGCUGCAACUGUUUAAUAAAAACACAGCACUGUGCAAACACGAAAGUGGACGUAUACGGUGUGACGCCUGCCCGGUGCCGGAAGGUUAAUUGAUGGGGUCAGCCGCAAGGCGAAGCUCUUGAUCGAAGCCCCGGUAAACGGCGGCCGUAACUAUAACGGUCCUAAGGUAGCGAAAUUCCUUGUCGGGUAAGUUCCGACCUGCACGAAUGGCGUAAUGAUGGCCAGGCUGUCUCCACCCGAGACUCAGUGAAAUUGAACUCGCUGUGAAGAUGCAGUGUACCCGCGGCAAGACGGAAAGACCCCGUGAACCUUUACUAUAGCUUGACACUGAACAUUGAGCCUUGAUGUGUAGGAUAGGUGGGAGGCUUUGAAGCGUGGACGCCAGUCUGCGUGGAGCCAACCUUGAAAUACCACCCUUUAAUGUUUGAUGUUCUAACUCGGCCCCGUAAUCCGGGGUGAGGACAGUGUCUGGUGGGUAGUUUGACUGGGGCGGUCUCCUCCCAAAGAGUAACGGAGGAGCACGAAGGUUAGCUAAUCACGGUCGGACAUCGUGAGGUUAGUGCAAAGGCAUAAGCUAGCUUGACUGCGAGAGUGACGGCUCGAGCAGGUGCGAAAGCAGGUCUUAGUGAUCCGGUGGUUCUGAAUGGAAGGGCCAUCGCUCAACGGAUAAAAGGUACUCCGGGGAUAACAGGCUGAUACCGCCCAAGAGUUCAUAUCGACGGCGGUGUUUGGCACCUCGAUGUCGGCUCAUCACAUCCUGGGGCUGAAGUAGGUCCCAAGGGUAUGGCUGUUCGCCAUUUAAAGUGGUACGCGAGCUGGGUUUAGAACGUCGUGAGACAGUUCGGUCCCUAUCUGCCGUGGGCGUUGGAAGAUUGAGAGGGGUUGCUCCUAGUACGAGAGGACCGGAGUGAACGCACCACUGGUGUUCGGGUUGUCAUGCCAAUGGCACUGCCCGGUAGCUAAGUGCGGAAAAGAUAAGCGCUGAAAGCAUCUAAGCGCGAAACUUGCCUCGAGAUGAGUCUUCCCUGGGCCUUUAAGGCCCUGAAGGAACGUUUAAGACUAAGACGUUGAUAGGCUGGGUGUGUAAGUGCAGCGAUGCAUUGAGCUAACCAGUACUAAUGAUCCGUGAGGCUUAACCUUACAACACCGAAGGUGUUUUAG
rnacentral:rRNA from 1 species